rnacentral:rRNA from 1 species
AACGAACGCUGGCGGCAUGCCUAACACAUGCAAGUCGAACGAGACCUUCGGGGCUAGUGGCGCACGGGUGCGUAACGCGUGGGAACCUGCCCUUAGGUUCGGAAUAAUUCCCCGAAGGGGGUGCUAAUACCGGAUAAUGUCUUCGGACCAAAGAUUUAUCGCCGUUGGAUGGGCCCGCGUUGGAUUAGCUAGUUGGUAGGGUAAAAGCCUACCAAGGCGACGUUCCAUAGCUGGUCUGAGAGGAUGAUCAGCCACACUGGGACUGAGACACGGCCCAGACUCCUACGGGAGGCAGGAGUGGGGAAUAUUGGACAAGGGGCGAAAGCCUGAUCCAGCAAUGCCGCGUGAGUGAUGAAGGCCGUAGGGUUGUAAAGCUCUUUUACCCGGGAUGAUAAUGACAGUACCGGGAGAAUAAGCUCCGGCUAACUCCGUG